rnacentral:rRNA from 1 species
GUUCGGAAGGGAUAACCGCUGAAAGCAUCUAAGCGGGAAGCUCGCUUCAAGAUGAGAUCUCCCAUCCUUUAUGGAGUAAGGCCCCCGGCUAGACCACCGGGUUGAUAGGCCGGAAGUGGAAGCGUGGCAACACGUGCAGCUGACCGGUACUAAUAGGCCGAGGACUUGCCACA